UACGUAGGGCGCAAGCGUUAUCCGGAAUUAUUGGGCGUAAAGAGCUCGUAGGCGGUUUGUCGCGUCUGCCGUGAAAGUCCGGGGCUCAACCCCGGGUCUGCAGUGGGUACGGGCAGACUAGAGUGCAGUAGGGGAGACUGGAAUUCCUGGUGUAGCGGUGAAAUGCGCAGAUAUCAGGAGGAACACCGAUGGCGAAGGCAGGUCUCUGGGCUGUUACUGACGCUGAGGAGCGAAAGCAUGGGGAGCGAACAGG
rnacentral:rRNA from 1 species